UCUUCCCAACACCCCCUAAUUAUAUAAAUUAAUGCUCACUAACACAGGCUCGUUAUGGAGAUAUUUUUAUUUACACUUCACUAAGCUUCGCUGCACCUACAACAAUGCUAUGAUAAUGUUAUAAUAAUACCUGCAAUUGUAUCUUCAGACUUGGUGGUCGGUGGAGCUUUUCUUGCAUCCCCCGGGCGCAUGUGUCUUCCAAUUCCAAACUCUUCGAGAGUUCCUUUCCACCUCCAUUCUGCACUUCCUUCUCUCCUUUUC
rnacentral:lncRNA from 1 species